AGACCCGAAACCCGGUGAUCUAGCCAUGGGCAGGUUGAAGGUUGGGUAACACUAACUGGAGGACCGAACCGACUAAUGUUGAAAAAUUAGCGGAUGACCUGUGGCUGGGGGUGAAAGGCCAAUCAAACCGGGAGAUAGCUGGUUCUCCCCGAAAGCUAUUUAGGUAGCGCCUCGUGAAUUCAUCUCCGGGGGUAGAGCACUGUUUCGGCUAGGGGGCCAUCCCGGCUUACCAACCCGAUGCAAACUGCGAAUACCGGAGAAUGUUAUCACGGGAGACACACGGCGGGUGCUAACGUCCGUCGUGAAGAGGGAAACAACCCAGACCGCCAGCUAAGGUCCCAAAGUCAUGGUUAAGUGGGAAACGAUGUGGGAAGGCCCAGACAGCCAGGAUGUUGGCUUAGAAGCAGCCAUCAUUUAAAGAAAGCGUAAUAGCUCACUGGUCGAGUCGGCCUGCGCGGAAGAUGUAACGGGGCUAAACCAUGCACCGAAGCUGCGGCAGCGAACGUAUCACCCAAGACAACUUUACGGAGUUGACGAUUGACGGAGCGAAGCGACGUCAAAGCGUUCAUUAAAGUCGAGUUGGCUUAGGGAUACGUUCGUUGGGUAGGGGAGCGUUCUGU
rnacentral:rRNA from 3 species